GCCAGGUGCAGUGGCGCGUGCCUGUAGUCCCAGCUACUCGGGAGGCUGAGGCAGGAGGAUCGCUUGAGCCCAGGAGUUCUGGGCUGUAGUGCGCUAUGCGGAUAGAUUGGAUGUCCGCACUAAGUUCCGCAUCAGUAUGGUGACCUCCCAGGAGCAGGGGACCACCAGGUUGCCCAAGGAGGAGUGAACCGGCCCAGGUCGGAAAGAGAGCAGGUCAAAACUCCCCUGAUGAUCAAUACAUAUAAAAUUACAUUUCAAUAAACAUAAUUGAUGCCACUAAAACGUAGGGACACAUAAGAUUUACAGAAACUGUCGA
rnacentral:SRP_RNA from 1 species